rnacentral:lncRNA from 1 species
GCAUGAAAGGUAUAUGCUGGUGACUACUAUCCCAAACAUAUCAAACUCCAAUAGCAGGAAAUCAUCAAUAUGCACUCAUGAGUUUGAACAUAUCACCACAUAAAAUAACGGAUACUCCGUGUCGAGGUGACAUUGUAACCGUGUCAGAUAACACACACAAUAUUAUGCCAGGGUUCAGAAUGCUUGCCUUCAAGAUUUGGGGAGGCAGGGUGCAUUCCAAAACUUGUGAUAGUUUUCUCCUCUCUCCAAAAAUCUUAUUUAAAAAUUUGAAUUAAUACAUAGGUUUAAAAACAGUACAAAAAAGUUGUCUGAAAAAUUUUCAAAUAAAUCUGAAAAUAAACUAGACAACAUUUGAGAGAGGUAGGAAAAAGAAUCAAUUCAUUUGGACUUACAUUUAAAAAGUUAUAGCCAGUCAAAGUUUAGUGAACUUUCUGUUUUUUAAAAUAAAACAAAAAAAGAAAAACGCUUCGAAUUAAACACGUCGAAGGCGUACUCGGGUGUUUACGUGUCCACUUAUCCAGCGUGGACUGGCGCGUGGGUCGCUGACAGUGGGUCCAGGGGGCCCACCGGUCAGGUUUGACCGGUCGUCCCUCCCUCCUCUUCCUUUGCCCGAGCGGAGGCGGGACUCCGGCGAUCUUCGCCGGCGAUUGGCGGCUCCUCGCGGGGCUCCGAGGGCGGGGAUGGAUCCGCCAGUCCAAGGCGGUCCUCCCGGUGGUCGCUAGGCAGGUGGGGACGGAGGGAGUCGCCGGCGGCGAGCUCCGCGGCGGAGGUAGCUUCGGGUGUAUUUAGGGGCAUGGGCUACGGUGGUUCCCGACCAUGUUUGGGAGGCUGGGCGGCUCCGCAGGAUCGAGAGGAGUAGAAUGGUGGCGCUGGAUGGGUGGGGGAGGCCCUGGUUGCGACGCAUGGCGCUGGGGCGUGGUGGCGGCCGAACCGGCCGGAGUCGGGUAAGACGGCUUCCCCCCGACGAUUACUGGCUGUGGGGGUGCUAUGGGGGUGGCCUGAGGUCGCCUGAGCGCUCGGAUGAGCUCGGGGGUCUCCUUUUAUAGCACAACAAGGUCGGUUCCGUGGCGGCCGGAGAUAAGCUCGGCGAACCGCCUCGUUGUAGCUUGCAGGGCAUCGUGGCGGCGACGGGCGCUAGCGGACGAGCUUGUGAAUGAGCUCAGUCUGCUCCCGAGGGCAGCUGGCGCGCUGGGGUGGUUCGGGCUGCGCUGUCCGGGGCAGGAGCCCACUGUGGUCGGCCGCUAGCCGUCGUGGCUGACCUGACGGCGGCGCUGUGCGGCCCUAGGGAUGAGCUGGCGUGUUCUGGUGAGUGGAUGAGGUCGGGGUGUGGCUCUACAGGCGAGCAAAGGCCAGGGGCGCGGGGCGAGCGAACGCGGUGGCUCGGGUGCACGCACGUGCAAAACACGCGCUCUGGCCGCGCCCAGAGCACGCCCACCAGGUGUUCGGCGAAAUGCCAGGGCUUGCUAGGAGGCUAGAGUGGAGCUGGGGUUUAACAGGAUUAGGUUAGGGUAGUCUAGAGGCUUAGUGGACAUGGUGGUUAGGCAAAGCAAGCAGGUCGAUUGUACAAACCAGAAACUAUGUCAAAACUGAUCAUGCCCAUAAGGUGUUUUACAAAAUGCCAAGGGCACUUAGGCAUUUCUUGGGGUGGCCAAACUCUCCAGGUUAGUGUCUCUUUAGGUGUAGGUGAUGGUGGCAAGGUCAUUUGGGCAAAACCAAAAACUUAGUAGUGCAAGUUUUGCAAAACUUCAGUUCUGGACAGAAGGUAAAUGGCAUCAUUGCAUGGACCAAGCAUACUCCAAUGGGUUCACUCUCUCGGACUUAAGGGUUUUGUAGGAAGGACUAUAGGUAGGAAAAAGAAUCAUGUGUAACAGAGCAAUGCAAAAUGGAGUUGAAGUAGAAAAGGCCAAACUGGUUCAGAGAGCAAAAGAGGAUGUUUUGCUCAAUUUUUUACAAAGAACAUUCAUGGGUUUUUGCAUAAAAAUGAAUUAUAUGCAUCUGCUACCAUCUCCAAAUACUUGGUAAAUUUUUUAAAGAAUUAUUUAAAGGGGUUGUAGUGCAAAGGUACCAACUUGACUAGUUUAGAAAACUUGGGGUAGGGCUCAAAAAUUUCAAUGAAUAAAAGAUAUUUUUGCAUCAAAGUGAUUCAAAAAUAUCACAUGACAUCCCCAAAUUUUGGUGAAAAUUUAGAUGCAUUUAUCAAAUGGUUGUAGUGCAAAGGAGGCUCCAAAACUUAUGAAAAAUCAUUUUAAAAGAAUAAAGCUCAGGAAAAAACAAUUAUGCAAAUGAAUCCACUGAUAAAGAAUUGUUUUAUUUGAGAGAGUAUACAAGUCCAAUAAUAUUUUUUUGAAAGUUCCCACUUGAGUUAAAACUUCACAAUAUCAAAGAAAAAGGAGUUCUGAAAUCAAAAGAAAAUCUAGAAAGCAAAAAUUUUAAACUCUUGGCAAAAUUUUAAUAAUCAAAACAUGGUUAAAUUUUUGGGGUGUUACAACACUACCCCCCUUAAGAAAAAAAAUCUCGCCCUCAAGAUUUCAUAAGAGUUGUUUUGAAAUUUGUACUCCUACUAUCACAAAAGUAACCAUCCUACUCCUGUAAUUAAAACGUAGCUACAGUGAGUGGCAAUAAGUGGCGUAAAACUACAGUGUGGCAUACUGGCGUUGCGUGGAAAAAUUUACGGUCAUUUUUCACUAUUGGUUACAGUAAAUUUAGAAUAAACUUCUAAAUUACUGAAAAUACGCUGGUCGUACCCGAGAGCACAGUGCUCUCUAUGGAUGACAGGUAGACCCGGGGCUAACUGUCGGUCUCUUCCUCUACAUCUGGCUCUCUCUUCUUCCUCUCUCCCGUGCGCUUUCCCGUGCUUUCUCCACCGGCGACGUCUAGCUCGUAGGGCAUCUAGGCCAUACUGCGGUAGUGCGCUUCGUGCUAGCUAUCGGCGCAGCAUGCACUCACCUCGCGGGACAGUGUGCUGUCGGCACAGCUCGCGGAUUCGCCUCCGAACACCGGCGAUCGAGCGACAAGCGGCGUCGAUGGACUUCACCCACUAUACACCGAUCUCGAGCUAUAAAACGACCGCGGUGCCCUUCUUCUUCCUCCACCUGACCUCGCUUCUUCUUCUCCUCCCUUCUCCUUCAUUUCUGUCUGCAGGAGCUCGAGACGAGGCUCUAAUGACGGAGGUGAUGCCGGACUGGUACGUGAUCCUGAUGUGCGGAGGGUUGGCGGCAUUGCUGGGGUUCUCUGUGCUCCUGUGCGUGAUCAUCCUCGAUGAUCGUCGUGAUGCGGCCGUGCGAGUGUUAGCUCUCCGCGGUGGCGGUGAUCACGAGGAUUAGGUGCGGUGUCAGGUGCUAACUGUUGUCAGGGUGCCGGAGGUAACCUGUACCCGAGUAAUUAUUCACAAAUCUCUCCCUCUGAGACUGUGGGGUGUUAGGGAGAUGAUUAGCUUGGUGCAAAAAUGUGCACGUGGAUUUGCACUUGGUCAAGUGGUUGGGGUUGUGAGUCUGAUGUUAUGGUGCUGCAUGAAAAUAAAAUAAAAAAUCUAUGUCGAGAAGAAAUAUAUGCUGCAACAGCUCAGGGAGAAAUCUCACUUCAGGAUUUACUGAGAGUGAAAACAGUUAAUAAAAUUUUACCAUAGUAAAAAUCACUCACAUAGAUUGAAACUAAAGAUUCAAUUCAUCGCACAAAUUUAGGAUACCACACACAAGUUGCAACACAUAAAUAACUGUAGGGACACUAAACACAGCAAUGACAUCUACAACGAUAAUGGUAAUUGGACAGGGUCCUGAGAAAAAGUCUCUGGAAUCGGGGCACAAUCUUCUUCUGUCGGGGGGAGUGGGUUGACCAGUCGAUGAAUGUGCCUUUCCUGGUUGGGCCUCAGUGGUCUGCCGAUGGCGAUUUGAGGAUUCAAAUCAGCAAGGCUCUGGAGAUAGCCCAUUACUCGCUGGGUCAAAUGCUCUUGAGCGAUGACAUACUAGGCAAGGUUGGCCAGUACUGGGUCUCUCUCGAUUUGUCCACCGGGAAAAGAUGUUACUUCUCUGGGUGCUGCACGACUCGGGAAAUAAUAAUACCCCCGUUUGCUGGCAUAGGGUACCGCGAAUCGAAGGCGUGUAAGCGCCUCAUACGCAGCGGCUUCUAUGGCCAUAUGCGGAGUCGGCAUAGAUUUCCCCACGAAGGAAGCUUCUGUGGGGUCUUGGUUUGGGUUUGCGGGAGGGACGUGCACCACUGCCCAAUAUUUCUAGGUGGAUGGGGUGAUCCUCGAUUUGAGCAACUCGUACUGGGGUGGAUGGAUAGCACUCAUGGUACUGCAGGUAAAGUCCCACAAGAUUUUAAUAAAGCUACCUGGAGUUGCAUCUGGAGUUCUCAGAUAAAUACUAGGGCUCGGCAUGGCAAUGGAAAUGGUUGUGCGAGUGGUGCUCAAGGUGUGGGGUACUUGGCAAGGUCACGAGGUGGCCUUUUAUAUAGCAUUGGGGCUGGGUUAUUUACCGCGGUGAAGGGUAACUAGUCUAUCGAGUCUGCUCCAUGGGGUCGGGGUCAAUGCUACAGAUACACAUAUCUCGUAAAAGUGAUGUAUUACUGUGGGAGUCGUUGGUGUGGUUUUGGUAGUUGUGCCCGGAAAAAAAAUGCAACCGCAUGCUACAUAUUUAUGCCAGGCUACUAUUAAAACAAAGGCACACAAGCAGGCUGCGAUUAUUCAAGGCGAUGCAAGAUUACAUAAUUACAGGGCGUGGGCAUACUGAGACUCGGUACUACUCGAGUGACUUAGUCUACCUCGUUUAUAUCUAAGCGAGCCUGCCUUGUGGAUGUCGAGGCUUCUCCACGGGUUUCGCCGUCGGGAUUAGCGGGAGGGGGUUGAGGGGCUGCCAGGUCGAGGUAGCGAUGGUGACCAUCCCGGGGAUUGUUGGCCACAAUCCCACUAGAGUGUGUUCCCAAAAGGCGAUGAAGCACUUCUGGGGACACCAAAGUAUUGUGGUCGAUGGCUGGGGCAGACCUCAAGGACUCGAUCGGGUGUCCGAACAACACGACUGGGUUGUCGGCGUCGGCCUCAUCUUCUCCUCUUGCCGGGGCUCGGCGGACCAGCUCUCCACGAGCUGCGAUCAGAUCAAGGGUGAUUUGAUCGAACAGUUCCUCUAGUGCACCUACAUAGCGCACCAGAUGCAACAAUGCAGGAUCCGUCUCGUGAUAUCCGUUGACAAUCUGGGGUGGCCUACCACACCCGUCACGGCUGCGGUAGUAGUAGAACGAGCGACAGUUAACUCUGGGCGACAAGUGCUGAAGUUGUACUAUAGCCUCUCGAGCAGCUAGUUGGAUGGCUUGUGGCUCAAAGGAAGGUGUCCUUCCGGUGAACCUGUAGGGGUGUUCUGGUGAUAGACCCCUACCGUAGAUGUGCACAGUGGCCCAGAAUUGACGGCUCUCACCGCUCAUGGGUCCCUGGUACACACCAUAUUCUGGGGGCUCCUCUAAUGCAAAGGCACGGUGGGUGAGGUUUGCUAGCACGGUCACAAAACCUCCAAGGUUUUUCACCGUGGUUUUAUUGGGCACGACGGGGCCAGACAUUAUGGCUCGGUUUGGGGAAGAGGCUGUGAUGUGUUGUGUUGAGGUUAGCGCGCCCUUUUUAUAGAAAAAGAGGACGAAGUCUUCCUUCGCACGCUUGCGAAUGAGACAAUUUAGGUGUCGGUCACUGGCGCGUGAUCGACGGGCUAGGCUGAUAGGUUGGUCACCGAUGGCCAAAAGGUGUCGGGUCCCUGUGGGGCUAUCUUACGCGAGAAGCUUGGCCGAGGUAAGUUUAUGGUCUGGUGGUCUGGUUAACCUAGGUUUAUUGACCUGGAUAAGAUAGGAUUAGCCAAUGGUCAGCCUGGCUCUGAUACCAAGUUUGUCAGGACCGGAUUUCGGGAUAUUAAUUUCCCAGAAAAUGGCCCUUGUGCUCACCAGCCCCAGGAUUACUGUUAGCUGGCGAGACACAAACUUGAUACAAUAACUCCAAGCAAAAUACAUAAUAUGUAGUACAAGACCAUUCUGGCCUAUGAGUACAACACAAGGUUUCUAGUGGUUGAUGGCGGAAGCGGUUCAUGGUCAUCGACGUUUGUGGAACUCCAUUUCCCACAGGAACAGCUGACCUGGAUAACUCCUAUCUUCGCGAGGCUGGUAUCACCAGCGCGUGGGUUCCGGGGCUGUCAGCGCAAUGCUCCUUUCCAUGCAAGAAAUCUGGCCAAGACAAUAGCCAGGGACAAGCUAGUGAGUACUUUUGAAUGUACUCGCAAACAUUAUGAGCUUAGGUAUAAUUAUUCAAAUGAUAAUCAUGCCCUAAAAUAUUCUAUGAUCACAACGUCAGUCACAGAAAUAAAAUCCAUGAUGCACACAAAAAAGUUAUUCACAUAACACAUGAAUAAUGCAAUUAGGGAGUAGAAAUAGAAUGCCUCAGUCGGGCAUCUGAACGACACCACAGGAAGGGCUCAUAAGUGAAAUAAGUAACAAACGUGCCGCAGUCGGGCGUCUAUGUGAUGCCACAUAAAGGGCUUAUAAAGUAAAUACAUAACAAGCAUGCCACAGUCGGGCAUCUCAGUGACACCACAUAAAGGGCUUAUAUGGUAAAUAAAUAACAAACAUGCCACAGUCGGGCGUCUGUGCGACAACACAUAAGGGGCUUAUAAAGUAAAUCAAUAAUAAACAUGCCACAGUUGGGCGUCUGUGCAACACCACAUAAAGGGCUUAUAACAGAAUAAUCACAAUGAAUAUCCAGGAGGUAGAACCGUCCCAGGGAUACUCAAAUAAUGAAGAUAGUUAGUCCACAAUAAUAAUAAUCAUAAUCAUCAUAUGUCACCGGUCAUAAUCAAUGUUCUGACUUAGUAGUUUUUCCUCUGAAGACCGACACUAAGACCGACACUUGACCCAACCCAGACUGUAGUCCUUAACCAUGGACACGGGUAUUCGAAUAGAUAUAAUCUCUGCAGAGGGUGUACUCUUUACCCACGAGUAACGGAUUCUGUUAGUCCAUCCGGACUAAUUCCGCCUACGGUCUUUUAAUUGAAAACACACCUAACCGCACACACCAGCCUGACUUAUCGGUGUCUGGAAUCACCCUGGCACCUGUUUAAGCAAAACUCUAAGUGGGGAGGCUACAACCUCGAUUAGCAUGGGAUCACAAAAUUUAUACCGCGCGCAAACUAGGGGAGCUACCGCUUCGGCUACAACCAAAAACACCCAUGCCCCCGGACUAGGUGGCCUGCCUACCGGAUGCCUCUGAUAUCUUCCACCAUUGCCUCUCUGUACGGUGUGUGCUAGAAAGGGGUUGACAACUUACUGAAUCGUACCCUACCUACGGCAGGGACAAGUGGUAGUACGAAACAAGUAUGGGGGUUACUGGAACAAGACUCGAUCUACGAUCGACUCAGGAGGUUUAAGUAUUCCCUACAUGAUUAGCAUAACCAAUAUAUUUCAACCAACAGACAGAAUCACCACUCAACAUACCUCAUCAUGCCGUACCAGACACAACCGUCUCGACGGAGGACUAGAGACAAGCCCGUGUCUACCCAAGACAGAGGCUUUCCCGGGUCCCUUCCGGCAUGCAUGAAAGGUAUAUGCUGGUGACUACAAUCCCAAACAUAUCAAACUCCAAUAGCGUGAAAUCAUCAAUAUGCACUCAUGAGUUUGAACAUAUCACCACAUAAAAUAACGGAUACUCCGUGUCGAGGUGGUAUUGUAACCGUGUCAGAUAACACACACAAUAUUAUGCCAGGGUUCAGAAUGCUUGCCUUCAAGUUGUGGGGAGGCAGGGUGCAUUCCAAAACUUGUGAAAGUUUUCUCCUCUCUCCAAAAAUCCUAUUUAAAAAUUUGAAU